ensembl:lncRNA
UUCUUUCCACACUCAUUUGUGAGGCUGCAGAUGCAUAAAUGGUGAGAGAGUGCAAUCAUCACGCGUCUGGAGACAAUGCAACUAUUGAGAAGCAUAGCUGGUCAAUUAUUUAUUGUCUUCUUUAUCCAUUCCUUUCAUAAUGUCAAAAUCCAAGCCCUUCCUCAGUCUGUAUUGACGGCGAGCGCGUCAACCAUCGGAGAGGAAGAGUCCGUUACACUUCAGUGUUCGGCAAGGGCAGGGGAUCCUCCUAAAAAAUGUUGGUUUUACCUGAUUAGUCCAAACGGCGAAAAGAACCUUGCCUUCGAAUGCCAGGCGACAUUUACAGGCUCUGUGCUCCUGGCAGAGAACUUUGCUCUCGCUGAGGUGAAGGUUCGGUGUUAUUACACCAACGAUCGGGGUGAGCCUGCUCCACACAGCGACAUCGUGUCUAUCACUGUAGCAAGAGCCCUUCCUCAGUCUCUAUUAACGGCGAGCGCGUCUUCCAUCAGAGAGGAAGAGUCGGUAACACUUCAGUGUUCGGCAAAGGCAGGGCACCCUCCUAGAAAAUGUUUGAUUUUCCUGAUAAGACCCACUCAGGGCCAAAAAAACAUCGCCUUUGAAUGCCAGGAGACAUUUACAGGCUCUGACCUCCUGAGAGAGAACUGGUCUCUCGCUGAGGUGAAGGUUGGGUGUUUUUACACCAACGAUCGGUGGAAACCUCCGACUGCUCCACACAGCGACAUCUUGUCAAUCACUGUAAGAAGAGCCCUUCCUCAGUCUGUAUUGACGGCGAGCGCGUCAUCCAUCAGAGAGGAAGAGUCGGUAACACUUCAGUGUUCGGCAAAGGAAGGAGACACUCCUAAAAAAUGUUAUAUUUACUGGUUUAUUUAAGCGAACGAGCAAAACAAAAUCGCCUUAGACUGCCAGGCAACAUAUACAGGCUCUGACCUCCUGGCACGUACCGGGGCUCUCGCUGAGGUGAAGGUUCAGUGUUUUUACACCGACGAUCGGUGGAUUAAGGAUGAACCGUAUAUAUAUAUAUAUAUAUGUAUAUAUAUAUAUAUUCUGUAUAUUGACCACCGGUUUGCAUCAUAUUCUAUAAUAUACUUCAGUAUGUUUGCUUUAUUACUGAUUGGAUUCAUUUCCUGUACUGUACUCAGCUGAUGUGACAAGAAGCAAGUAGCAGGUCCUCAUGUUGAGUCUAGCCAACUGAGACUAGCCUCAGAUUAAAUUAUUGAACUAUUUCUCUCCCAGUUGUUACUGGCAGUCCUACGCCAGCCAGUCCUACGCCAGCCAGUCCUACGUCAGCCAGUCCUAUGCCAGCCAGUCCUACUCCAGCCAGUCCUACAUCAGCCAGUCCCACCACUGCUGCCAUAACCGUGGUGAAUCCCACCUCAGGUGCCAAAACAUAUUCAUUGUGUUCAUAGUCAAUUUAUUUGCUAAAUUCACUACAGGGUGAAUUUAAUUUGCCCCACGGGACAUUUAUAACGUGAAUAAAAAGGGAUAUAUAUUAAACAUAAACUGAAUCUUAUUGUGUGCGUGCGUGUGUGUGUGUGUGUGUGUGUGUGUGUGUGUGUGUGUGUGUGUGUGUGUGUGUGUGUGUGUGUGUGGGCGUGUGUGAUUGGGGGGUGGGGGUUUGUUAAUGACUCUUUGUGGUGUCUUUAGUAACUGAUUGACUCAAUCAAUUGCACAAUAAUUUGUAAUUAUAUGUAAUUACAUAAUAAGUUAAACUAAAGUGUAAGAUGAUGAAUGAAUGGUUGAAUAUUAGUGAAUUGUUUAUUAAUGUACCUUAUUGUA